GCAGAGCAUCCUACGGGAGGCAGCAGUGGGGAAUAUUGCACAAUGGGCGCAAGCCUGAUGCAGCCAUGCCGCGUGUAUGAAGAAGGCCUUCGGGUUGUAAAGUACUUUCAGCAGUGAGGAAGGUGGGUAUGUUAAUAGCAUACUCAUUUGACGUUAGCUGCAGAAGAAGCACCGGCUAACUCCGUGCCAGCAGCCGCGGUAAUACGGAGGGUGCGAGCGUUAAUCGGAAUUACUGGGCGUAAAGCGCAUGCAGGUGGUUUGUUAAGUCAGAUGUGAAAGCCCGGGGCUCAACCUCGGAAUUGCAUUUGAAACUGGCAAACUAGAGUACUGUAGAGGGGGUAGAAUUUCAGGUGUAGCGGUGAAAUGCGUAGAGAUCUGAAGGAAUACCGGUGGCGAAGGCGGCCCCCUGGACAGAUACUGACACUCAGAUGCGAAAGCGUGGGGAGCAAACAGGAUUAGAUACCCUGGUG
rnacentral:rRNA from 1 species